rnacentral:rRNA from 1 species
CCUACGGGGGGCUGCAGUGGGGAAUCUUGCGCAAUGGGCGAAAGCCUGACGCAGCAACGCCGCGUGGGGGAUGAAGGCUCUCGGGUUGUAAACCCCUUUCAGGGACGAAUCGGUACCUGCAGAAGAAGCCCCGGCCAACUACGUGCCAGCAGCCGCGGUAACACGUAGGGGGCAAGCGUUGUCCGGAUUUAUUGGGCGUAAAGAGCUCGUAGGCGGUUCGAUAAGUCGGGUGUGAAACCUCCAGGCUCAACCUGGAGACGCCACCCGAUACUGUUGGACUGGAGUCCGGUAGGGGAGCGUGGAAUUCCUGGUGUAGCGGUGAAAUGCGCAGAUAUCAGGAGGAACACCAGCGGCGAAGGCGGCGCUCUGGGCCGGACUGACGCUGAGGAGCGAAAGCGUGGGUAGCAAACAGGAUUAGAUACCCUUGUAGUC